rnacentral:rRNA from 1 species
GGUAUGACGGUACCCUUUCGAAUAAGAGGUUGCUAACUCUGUGCCAGCAGCAGCGGUAAUACAGAGACCUCGAGCGUUAUCCGGAUUUACUGGGCGUAAAGCGUCUGUAGGGGGUUUGUUAAGUUCCAAGUAAAAUCUUAAGGCUCAACUUUAAGUUCGCUUGGAAAACUAAUAAACUGGAGUCCAGCAGAGGUGCAUGGAACUUGCGGUGUAGGAGUGAAAUCCGUUGAUAUCGCAAGGAACACCAAAGGCGAAGGCAUUGCACUGGGCUGGUACUGACCCUGAGAGACGAAAGCGUGGGGAGCAAAACGGAUUAGAUACCCGUGUAGUCCACGCCGUAAACGAUGGAUACUAGAUGUUCGGGGAUUCGACCCCCUGGGUGUCACAGCUAACGCGUUAAGUAUCCCGCCUGGGAAGUACGGCCGCAAGGCUAAAACUCAAAGGAAUAGACGGGGAUCCGCACAAGCGGUGGAGCGUCUGGUUUAAUUUGAUAGUAAGCAAUGGACCUCACCAAGGUUUGACAUCCUAUGACAACCCUGGAAACAGGGCUUCCUUCGGGCAUAGUGACAGGUGCUGCAUGGUCGUCGUCGGUUCGUGCCGUGAGGUGUUCCGUUAAGUCGGGAAACGAACGAAACCCUCGUCGCAUGUUACAAAUUUCAUGCGAGACUGCCCGGGUCAACCGGGAGGAAGGCGGGGAUGACGUCAGAUCAGCAUGGCCCUUAUACCUUGGGCUACACAGGCGCUACAAUGGCCGGUACAAAGGGUUGCAAAACCGCGAGGUGAAGCUAAUCCCAUAAAGCCGGUCCAAGUUCGGAUUGGAGGCUGCAACUCGCCUCCAUGAAGUUGGAAUCGCUAGUAAUCGUGGAUUAGCCAUACCACGGUGAAUACGUUCCCGGAUCUUGUACUCACCGCCCGUCACACCAAGAGAGUUGUAGCUCCUGAAGC